UUACGAUCAUAUCACGCUGGAAUAACCAGUUUUUGUGUGAUCACCAAAGUUAAGCAACGUCGAACCUGAUCAGUACCUAGAUAGGUGACCACUUGGGAAUGCUAGGAGCUGUAA